rnacentral:rRNA from 1 species
CCCCAGCGCCACAAGUGGCAAUCACAAUUACUGGGCCUAAAGCGUCCGUAGCCGGCUUGAUAAAUCUCUUGUGAAAUCAUCAGGCUUAACCUGAUGUCGUGCAGGAGACACUGUCGAGCUCGGGACCGGGAGGAGUCAGAGGUAUUCCGUGGGGAGCGGUAAAAUGCUAUAAUCCUCGGAGGACCACCUGUGGCGAAGGCGUCUGACUAGAACGGAUUCGACGGUGAGGGACGAAGGCUGGGGGAGCAAAACGG